GAGCUGGCGUCGCCCCGCCCCACGCCUCUCCACCCACCAAUCACCGGGCUUGUUGGAGUACCGGCUUCGCCCCGCCCCUCCCCGCCUCCCAACUUGGGAGACCUGCGGGGAAUUCCUGAGCUGUGACCCUGAGGGCUGCGGCGGUGCGGCCGACUCCGUGCCUGCUCCUUGCUACGUCCCGCUGGGCUGGGGUCGGGUGCGUGGAUGGUGAGGUUCUGAGGCCCCGGGAGCGGCGUAACACCCCACGUUCAGGCUCGGGGCGGCGCGCCUGUGCCGAGUCACACGCGGUGCCGUUUGAUGCCUCCGGGCCCUGGGUCCGCAGGGCCCCAGCGGCCCUGUUUCUGGGGGAGGGGGUGUAUCAGUGUUUAAAUCCAGUGAUCUCGGGACUGUGGACGCAGGAGGACCCACCCUUUUUCUGUGCUUACCUUUGAAAUACCGAGACCCUAGGUGGUGGUGAUCGUCUCCGUGAGAGCGGUCCCACAAGAGUCUACCCUCCCACAUUUUGUCUGCUGUUUAUAAAGUUUAUUUAUUCUGGGAGAGAGAGAGAGCAGGGCAGAGGGAGAGGGAGAGAGAAUCCCAAGCAGAGUCCAACCCGGGGCCUUGCCCACUAACUACUUAGAUCAAGACCUCAGCAGAAAGCAAGAGUUGGCUGCUGAACCCACUGAGCCACCCAGGUGCCCUUGUUUUUAAUAGCAAGUUUAGUAGUUGCAAAAGAUGUAAAUACUUAAAAAAAAAAUGACCUUCCCCUUAAAUUUUCCAUCUAUAUCCCCUCAGAGUGUUGUCAAAUUGUAACUUCUUGUCGAUUAAAGUUCGAAAAAUGAGGGAAAAUUAAAUACUGAGAAGUCCCAAUUCCACUCCUCCCCCAAUCCAGUCAUACUGUACAAACAGCUUUUAUCUGAAGAGGAAAUUUUUUCCAUAUUCGGCAGUCUAUUAUUUAUUUUUAACUAUUUCUUUUUUCUUGAAUCUUUGUGUUUUUUAAAAACAUUUUUAAUUGAAGUACAGUCUUGACAUAUAACGGAUUCGUUUCAGGUGCACCAGUGAUUCAACAGUUAUAAUCAUUACGAAAUGCUCAGUGUGUAAUUACCAUCUGUCAUCAUACAAAGUUAUUACAAUAUUAUUGACUCAGCUCUAGGUUACAUGUCUAUGACUCAUUUUGUUUAUAGGUCUGUGCCUCUUAAUCCCCUUUACCUAAUUUGUGCUCCCACAACCGCUACUCUGGUGUCUAUAUUUAUGAGUCCGUUACUCUUUUGCUGUUGUUGUUGGCUCAUUUGUCCACGUAUAGGUGAAAUUAUAAGGUUUUUGUCUUUGCAUAAUACUCUAUAGAUCCAUCCAGUUUGUUGUGAAUGUCAAGAUUUUAUUCUUUUUUUUUUUUUAUGGCUGGGGAAUAUCCCAUUGUGUAUAUAUCUCACAUUUUUAUCCAUUCAUCUAUCAAUGGACCCUUAGAUUGCCUCCAUAUCUUGGCUAUUGCAGAUAAUGCUCCAAUAAACAAAGGGCUGCAUACAUAUCUUCAAGUUAGUGUUUUUGUUUUCUUUGGGUAAAUACCAAGAAGUGCAAUUACUGGAUUGUAUGGCAUGUCUAUUUUUCAUUUUUUGAGGAACCUCCAUACUGUUUUCCAAUUUGUACCAAUUUACCAAUGUCACCAUUUUUUUUUUUUUUUUAGCAAUGUUACACCAGUUUAUAUUCCCACCAAUAGUGCAUGCUGGGUUCCUUGUCCUCUGAAUCCUUACCAACACUUGUUAUUUCUUAUACUUUUUAUAUCAACCAUCAAACUAACAUUUUUACAUUUGAUAGUCUUUUAUUGAUGAUCCUAUUACACUUCUCUGCAAGAGAAUAUGUAUAGAAAUUUAAAUUAAUAUUUACUUUUCUAUAGCUAGAAAUCUCUAAGUGUUAAAGUUUUUUUCUGGAUUAAAUUCUCAUUACAAUCAUUAUUCAUAUAUGACUAAUAAAAACCAUGGAAAUAUAUUACAGUUCACCCUUGAACAAUACAGGUGUUAGGGGUACUGAUGCCCCCUGCAGUCAAAAACCCAUUUAAAAGUUUUGACUCCCCAAAUACUUAAUUACUAAUAGCCUACUGUUGACCGGAUGCCUUACUGAUAACAUAAACAGUUGGUUAACAUUUUGUAUGUUAUUUGUAUUAUAUACUCUAUAUUCUGUAAAGUAUAUAUAUUCUAUACAGUAAUCAAGAAGAAAGAAAAUGUUAAGCAAAUUAUAAGGAAGAGAAAAAAAUAUACUUACAGAACUUUACUGUAUUUAUGUGAAAAAGCCCACAUAUGAGUGGCCCCAUGUAGUUCAAACCCAUGUUUUUCAAGGGUCAGCUGUAUACAUUUGACAAAGAAUUUUUAGAUAUUAAAAGCAAUUUAUUAGAAAUGUAUCAUUUAAGCAUAUCUAUUUGGCUUUUAAAAAAUUAGUUCAGGUGUCUAUAAGUGAGAUUAUUGCUUGAAUGAGACAGGGUCCGGUGAAAAAUACAACAAAAAGGGGACUUAGAGUAGAAUACAUAAACAUUAAGUUCAUAAAGUUUUUAUAGGUAUGUGGUCAUGAUAAAUAAAAGAAAAAAGAAGCUAUUGGUAAAUGAGAGCCAGGAAGAGGUUUGAGUCCAAGUAAAAAGUGAAUAUUAUUUAUGUACCUACUAAUCAUUUGGCAAAGUUCAUUGAUGAAAAUGUUUCUUUUACAAAUCUGAAUAAAAGUCAGGAAAAUACAGAAUUUACUCUUGAUAUGGAAUUCUUUUACUUGGAAAUAUAAUGUUAAUUGUCAGAAGGUGGACCUUCUAUUUUCUUCCCCUUGAAAUAAUACAAAUUAUGUAGCCAACAGGCAUCCUUGAUGAAGGAGGCAUUCUCCAAUAAUAAUAUAUGGUGGUAUUUCAAAUUGCCCCUUUGUUUGGGACAUUUGAGGCUUUUUGAGUUAAAUGUACAGCACUUAGGGACACCUGCGUGGCCCAGUCGGUUAAGCAUCGACUUCAGCUCAGGUCAUGAUCUCACAGCUUGUGAGUUCAAGCCCUGUGUCGGGCUCUGUGCUGGCAGCUCCGAGCCUGGAGCCUGCUUCUAAUUUUGUGUCUUCCUCUCUCUCCGCCCCUCCCCUGCUCAGGGUCUUUCUCUCUCUUUCUCUCUCUCAAAUAUAAAUAAACAUUAACAAAAUUUAAAAAAUUAAACAUACAGCACUUAGAAUGAUGCCUGGCACUGAAUGUCUUGGGGUGUUCGGGCUGCUACAACUACCAUAGACUAGGUGGCUUGUAAAUGACAGAGAUUUAUUUCUCACAGCUGGGGAGGCUGGAAGUCCAAGACCACGGUGCUGUCAGAUUUGGGGACUGGUUGAGAGCCUGCUUCCUGGUUCUGUACAGAGAGCUGUCUUCUCGCCGUGUCCUCACACGGGAGCAGGGGUAAGGCAGCCUCGUGGGCUUCUUUUACGAUGGCACAAAUCCCGCUCAUGACCUAAUCACCCUGGUGAUUAGGUCUCAAUACAGGAGCUCUGGGAGGACACAGUCAGUCUACAGCACUGUCUUAAAAGGAGCGCAGAAAGACGGGAAGCAGGACAGCAGGCAGCUCCCUGCCGGAAAGUCCCGUCCUAUCCGCCCUAAGAGAGAGGACAUGUAGAAUUUGAGCAGCUGGGGAUUGGUGCCCUCAAAACUCUGAGGCCUCCUUGAAAAGUCCUCCUGUGACCCCAGGUGUCUCAGCCUGGGGACCACUACCUGGCUCGCUGUUAAGUAAAUGAGCUGGUAUUUGAACCCAGGGUGUGCACAGCUCGGAAUGCCCAGCAGGUGGCCCUGCAAUCCAUUUGUUUUCGGGUGAAGGAUGCUGUGCAGGCCGCUUUGUAGCAAGGAAUCUGAUUUUAGCUCAAGGAUCUAAGCAAAUAAAUUUUCUCUUCUUCUCUGCUGGAUUUUUGGGGGAACAGGGACACCGUGAAACAAAAACAAGGAAAGAGGUAUGUGGACGGUUGACCAGAGGUGGGGUACUUCCGAAAGAUAAAUGAUGUGCCUUAUCUGAGAAUUUAGGGAAUACAAGAUUUGGAAAGUUACUAUUGAUUACAGACCCACUCGUAAAAGCUUCAGAUGCUGCUUUCAACUACUACAAGCUCCAGUUCCCGGCACGAGUCACGGCCUAUUCUCCAGAAUAGUUCUCCUCACUCGAUUCUGUGGAACCAAGCUUAACUAAACACACAGCCGUGGGAGCACCCGUCACCCCGGAAAAUGGAGAUUUUCCUGGGCACAGAGGCCACUUGGGAGAAGGUAACUACAUUAAGAGAGAACCAGCCAUGCAGGACGGCAUAAGGAAGAAAGUAGAAUCCUAGGGGACCAGCAGCGAGCAGCUACAAAUGACCCACACGGCUUCCCACUGCCUUAGCCCUAAGCAGCUGGUAAAGUCUAACCUCCCCCAGAACUGGCCUCCGAGAGUCUCUCUCCCGCCCUGCUUUCAUUCCCUUGGCCUCAGCCAGUCUGUUUUUCCAGCCCUAAAUGCUUGUAUUCCCUGCAAGACACGUUCAGGAUUAGUAUGUCUGUCAUGUACCACACCCCAUUGUUUGUGACAAGAACCAGGGAGCCGGGGAGACGGAAAGGCUGAGAGCGAAGUGUUCGGUUUCUCCCAUAAUUCGGCUUCUGUCUCGCUGUCUCUGAUCCCAGGGGGGCAUACAAUUAGUAGGGACUGGGACUCUAAGUAACCCCUGCCUGGGGUUAACAGUUCUGUAGUUCUGGCUUUUUGUCUUUUGCUGUUGUGUCUGGGCAACAUGGACAGUGUGUUCUCUGUUUUACUGCAGGCAUUCUUAGCCUUAUUUAUUUAUUUAUGUAUUUAUUUUACUAAAGAGGUGGUUAGGCAGCCAUGUGUCUGCAAAGGGAGCCUUGUCAGCUUAAUGCUAGAUUUUCUUUUUUAAUACUUGGUGUUUCAGAGAUACAUUUUGUUAACGUGUUAGAGUAGCACAUAGACCUUUGCAAUAGAACUCUUUUAGAAAGAACGUGGCUUAGAAAGAACGUGGGUGGCUUAGUCGGUUGAGCGGCCGACUUCGGCUCAGGUCAUGAUCUCGCGGCCCGUGAGUUCGAGCCCCGCGUCAGGCUCUGGGCUGAUGGCUCAGAGCCUGGAGCCUGUUUCAGAUUCUGUGUCUCCCUCUCUCUGACCCUCCCCCUGUCAUGCUCUGUCUCUCUCUGUCUCAAAGAUAAAUAAACGUUAAAAAAAAUUAAAAGAAAAAAAAAGAAAGAAUGUUUUGAGAGUCAUGGUUGUGUCAUACCAACACGAAGCCGUAACUAAGCGCAUUGGACUUGAGCUUCAGGUACUGACAAGUCCAGUACCUGGCACACAGUAGGCGCUCACUAAGAACUUGAUGAGUGAAGAGACGAAUGGAUGGAUAGAGCUAUUCUUGCUUUCUUCUAUUCUUUCCUCCCCUGCCUCGGGUUGCUGUCCAACAGGUGUAGUUUUCAGCUGUAGUGAUUUGGAAGAAAAGUGAAAAUGCUCUCCCUCCCCCUAGUCCUGCAUCAUCAAGCAAAAUUGUAUGUUUACUGGAAAGGCUGGAGCCUCAAUCUCACAGUUGCUUACUCAACAUCUGAGGCUGGACCUCUGAAUAAAUGCAUAAAAUUCUACAUUUGCAAGUUACAAAUGUUGGUAGGCAAUCUAAGGCCAUGGCAAUUCCAUCCAAGCCAAAAACAAAAACAAAAACAAAAACAAAAACAAAACAAGCUCCUCCCGUCCCUGCAAAAUUUCAAACGAACAAAAUUUUUGCCCUACACAUGGUCCUUGGACAGAAUGAGGGUUGGGGGAAGCCCCCUUAUCAAUUCCUUAACAGGUUUUAAGAUGCUUUGGCCAGUUACCAACUGGGUGUGUGACAGCAUUCACAUAGCUCCAAAUGGUUUUGUGUUUCCAAGUAUCUUUGGAUCAGAUCUUUAGAUUUAGUCGGAAACUCAAUCGUGGUACCUUCCCUUUGGGUUACUUGCAUUAAUUAAAUAUGGGGAAAAUGCAGAAACUCUCAUUAGAAAGGACUAUUCCCCGAACUUGUGAUGUUUAAUCAUCCACAGAGUAGGCUUCCAUAUGAUCCUCAGAGCAAACACUGAACAGAAGUUCUUUGCCCUGUGUCCUGCUACUUUUCUGUUUCUUUUUUUCAACAUGUAUCAUGUGCUAUGAGAGUAGAGUGGGGAUAGCAAAGAAGACAAUUAUCUUCCGUCUACGGUUGUGAUGGACCACCUUGUUUCUUACCAAAACGCUCAAAGACAACGGAUGCCAUGCAUUUCUUGCCUGUUUUUGAAACAACAGCUAUGACUCAGUUACAAAAAAAAGGUAACUUUGACAGAAUUUCCACUUUCUUUUUUAUUGUGGUAAGAACACUUAACGUAAGCUCCACUCUCUUGACAAAUUCAGUGCACUCUCCAGCCCUGUUAACCCUGGGUGGAAUCGUACAACAGACCUGUAGAGCUCAUUCACCUUGUGUGACGGAAACUCUGUACCCACUGGAUGGCAGUUCCCUAGUCUCCUGUCCCCUCGCCCCUGGUAACCACCAGCCUCCCCUCUGUUUCUGGGAGUUUGACUAUUUUAGACACCUCAUGUAAGUGGAACUGGGCAGUGCCUGUCCUUCUGCGACUGGUUUACGUCACUCGGCAUAAUGUCCUCAAGAUUCAGCCACGUUGUUGCAGAAGGCAGGAUUCCCUUGUUUAAUGCUGAGUAAUAUCCCAUUGUAUGCAUGUACCACAUUCUCUCUAUCUACUCCUCUGUCCACGGAUGUUCAGGCUGUUUCAAAAAAUUAAAAAUAGAACCGCCAUAGGAUUCAGCAAUCUGACUUCUGGGUAUUUAUCCAAAAGAAUUGAAGUCAGAAUCUUGAAAAGAUACCUAUGCUCCCAUGUUUUAUGGGACAUUAUUCACAAUAGCAGUGAUGUGGAAACAGUCCAAAAAGUAUUUUAAUUGCCUUUGUAUUUUUAACUCCAGACUUCACAAAGUCCUUCAUUCUCUGUACUUCAGAGAAAAACAUUAACUUGUCCAAGAAAGAGAAACUGUAGCUGUAUUUACUGCAUUUACUGUAAGUAGGUAAGUCUGAAAAGGUGGAAUGGAAGUCAAGGUCACAGAAUGAGCCAUCAUCUGAAGGGAAGUCUGAAGAAUGUUUGGAGACCUGUAAGAUGCAUCCUAGGCGGGGCCAGCCCACCCCCACGCCAGCCCAGAGGUGAGGUUUGACAGCCUGAGGCUCUCAGUCACAUUAUACCACAGUAGAAAGGUCUGGAAUAAGGGACGAGGAGGACUGGUUAUCAAGUGCACUGGCCGGGGUUCUGCUUACACGAACACCUUUACUACAACACUGACGUGGACAAAAAUGAUUUAUUUUUCAUUUUAGUCCUUGACAUCUUUUCCACUCGACUAAUGUGUGUGAAUUUCCAAGUGCUGUGAGAAUUUCAAACUGAUCUCGGAGCUUGGCAAUGAAUAAUGCUAACUGGGAUUUGUCAUCCUUCAUAAGAGGACAGGUUGUCAGGACUCACCUCUGAGCUGGCGACGAGCCUUCAGGGUUUAUCGCCUCUCUCGGCUGCAAGAACACCGCUAUUCAUCUCUCACCGAUACUUAAAAGUGCCCACGUAUUUAAGGGUUAUAUUUAAUAAUUAAUCAAGAAAAAACUUUGUAAUGUUUAAGCCUGCUUCCCCGCCCCUCAUCUUGUACUGCUUAUUUAGAAAGGAUCCAAAUGCUGAGUUUAAUUAAAAACAUACAACACUUGUUGCGGCUUACUGCAGAUUUAAAAUAAAGGGUAUAAAACAUAACAGAAACACGUGUGGUCACCAAAAUUAUACCCAUUUACCGAUACCUCACAGCAGGUUUCUGCCCGAAGAACUCUCACACGUUGCAUUUAGUGGUCGAUGAUCUUUACGUCUCCGCCUGUUUCUAAGCCAGUACAGUUUCUUCUUGUGACGUAAGGAUGGCUAGGAGAGAAGGUUUUCAGUUUUCGUUUCUGUGAUCAGCAGACUCCCCUGGUACCUUUCCUUUUCUCGUUUGAGGAGGAAAGUGUCUGUUGGGGGACUUCAAAACUUCAUCGUUUGUUUACAUUUCCCUGGCAGUUUGCAGCUAUUUUCCUGGCUCGUCUUUUAUGUGACAGAGAGAGAGGUGGGGGAAAGAAAACUAUCCUGUUUCAGAAUACAAACAGCGUUAAAACCCUUGGCUGAGCAAAGGAAAGCUGAGACCGCUGGGCGUUCCGGCACGCAUCAAGAGUUCCGUGUGUUUUAGGUGAUAGCAAUCUGUCCACGGGCUGCAGGCUAGGCGAGCCCGGAGGAAGACAAACGCACCGAGCGCUUCUGCGCGUUGUGUGUUUGCUGCACAAAAGCUGUGAACACAGCCGGGAAACCUCGGUUUCUUCUCUGGACGCAGCAACAAACCAAACGCGCAGAGAAACGCUCAGCUGUGCGAUGGCAUUCUCUGCACUCGGACAUCCAUCACCUCCUGGGGCCUCAGGUAGGGUUUCCAAGACGGUGGCUGGCUCGCAGCGUCCUUUGAGGUGGUCUAAGGUCAAUCAGCGUGUCACUGCACCUGCGCCCGUUUGCUUUUAGGUCUCGCCUCCGAUCGCGGAGCAAAGGCCACGUCAAAAAGCAUGUGGCGCCAACUCUCAGGCUGGGGGUUUGGCCUCUCUCAGUACCAUGUGUAUAUGUGCACCCGGCCACUCUUGGCCUUGUUUUCAAAUAAUUUAUUCACGCGUAUAUGAGUCUCCCGGGGCUGCUGUAACAAGGUGCCACAACCAGGUGGAUCGCAAGCAGCAGGAGUGUAUUGUCUUGAGGUCUGGAGGCCAGGAGACUGCAAUCAAGGCAUCGGCAGCAGGGACGUGACCCUUCUGAAGGUUCUAGGGGAGGAUCCUUCCUGCCUCUUGCAGGGUCUGCUGGCUCCAGGUGUUCCUCGGCAUUCCUUGGCCUGCCGCUGCGCCUCUCCAACUUGGGCCUGUGCCGCCACGUGCACCUCUGUGUGUCCCUUCCUCUCUCGUAAGGACACCGCCACCCACUCAGUACAAACUCCCCCUAAUUAAUUAUGUCUGCAAAACCCCACUUCUAAAUAAGGGCACGCCCCGCCCCGAGAUUCCAGGUGGACAGGAAUCUGGGGGGACACGACUCAACCGGGUAAACGUGUACCUCACAGUCACCUUCUGUGCGCAGGGUACAGAAAUCCAUUCUCCAGCCCUCCCCCCACCCCCGGCCAAGGAAGCUGCUGCCGACUACACCUGAAGGGUCACCCUGGCACAUCCAUCCACUGAGUCAGCCAGACACCCGAUGAUCAGUGCCCAAGCGGUUUCUGGCAUCUACUAGUACUUCCAGAAGGAAGCGGAAGAAAAAGGAAGGAAAAUAGAAGAAUGAGGUCGUGGGAGAAGACUCCUGACGGGGAUGAGACACUGAGGAAGGAGAGCUCAAGCAAGUCCCUGGCUGUCAGGCUGGCUCCCAGGGGCUGAGCACCCGCUGCCUGAGAGCCAGAGUCAGCACAACUGGCCCACCCACGGCGUGUGGGCGCGUCUUUGAAGCACAGGCAUACAGGCGGCUUCGCUCGGAUGGAGAUGCACGCUGCCCGAUCGGAGGGGCACACAGCCCGCGGUUCCCAUCCCCCACCGCGUGCGAGUGCAGGGGGAGCUUUCUAGAACCCAGCGAAAGUAGCGCGUGUGAGUCCCUCCUCGAAGGUUUAAGGCCACCGUAUCAGCUGUCCACACACAAGGACACAGGGAUGGACGCACAUUCAGCGUGUGCCUAGCUGAGCGGCACCACCCGGAGCCCGCUGCUGAUGGGAUCUUCCAGCCCAGUCGGAGAAGCUCUUUACCGUGGAAUUUACUGUUCAGGCCUCCUCUCCCACUUUUAAAAAAGAAAAUUGAAGAAACCAUCCGUGCCAGCAAUCCCAUGUUCUUGCUGAUCUUCAAGAUCUACCUCAGCUCAUGGAAAAAUCCCCUGGGCCGUUGUGAAAACCACGUCAUCUCCCUGCAGGUCUCUCGUGGUUCUGGCAGAACCUGUCUGGGAUACAGCCUGAGCAUCAAGAUUCCUGAAGUUCCCAGGGCCCCUGUGUCAAGGGCCACUGAUGUGACCCAAGUUCUUCCACGUGGUGUGCUUGUGUCAUCGGGAGGAGCUGUCACAGUGGGGGGAUGGGCACCAGGGGGUUGUCCUUGCCACACUUCCUUCGGGCCAUGUACGAGGUUCCUGCAGAGGGAUCCAGGGAGGGCUCGGAGCGGGGUGGCUGAGGGUGGGGUCUGAGCACCCGUGGGGAGGGGGACAGGUGCUGCUGCAGAGCAGGGUGGGGGGAGCCACUCUCCUGCCUGUACCUUAAGGCCAGCAGCACCUCGGCACCGAGCCGCCAACAUCAGCUCCCAGAGGGGACCUUGUCUUCACGAUGCGUGUGAGUUUGCCAGGGAACUCUACGGGCAACAGGUAUUGGAUCUGAGGGGCCCAUGCGCUGCCUGCAGCGGACAGAGUGGGGCCCCCAUCGGAAACACUGAAAAGUAACUGGGGGCACCGUGAGGUGGGCAAAUUUAUAGCAUCGAGCAGACCGGGGGGAUUGUGCCACAACAAUAAACACGAAGAGGACGUGUGCCCUUGUUCUGUAAUCCUGCUCUGCUAAGACCUGAGACACAGGGCGACACUAAUGUGAACUUCUUUCGGCUGGGUAGAUUAAAGAAUUCCCUGAAUACAACCAAAGACAACAAGUUUCCAAUUAAAGCUUUUGUUGAACAGAUGGGGUUCGAUUGUUAAACGCUACCGGGCACGCCAAACAAAGGUUUACUCCGCUUUAAAACAUUUGUUUCCUGUUGGGCAAACAGGGGUAAGAUCAAUGAAGCGUUGAGUUCAAACACGCAAUCUGUUCAUGGGUUAUUUUGCAGGUUUUCAAACUGUAAACAGUUGUUGUCAUUCACAAUUCAAGUGUCGCUAUUCACUGUGUUGUAAAAAGAAACGAAAAGGAAUUGGAGGCUGGUUUUGUGGACGUGAGGAACUCAUCCUUAAACCUGCCGGUGGCGGAGUUUCUGCUCAACACUCGAGUGCUCCAGGUUUCCCUCCAUGGCUGCUGGAAAUCCGUAGGACACAGCUGAACCCCCACCUGCACCCAGCACCCGCAUGCCAGCAGUGUCCUACCUGCACGGUCCAUUCUCUAACUGCUGGGGGUGCCUGGAGAAUACUCCUACCUUCAGGCAAGUAAAACACGUGUGCAUUAGCUUGCUGUCACUAUUGUAACUCACAAAAACUUAGCGACUUUAAACAGCAGCUGUUCCCUCUCUUCCAGGCCUUAGAUCGGAAGUCUACAACAAAGGAGUCAGCAGGGUGGUUCCUUCCAGGCACUCUGGGGAGAAGGCACAUCCUUGCCUUUUCCAGCUUCUGGAGGCCCCCUGUGCUCCUUGGCUCAUGGACCCUUCUUCCUUUUCCAAGAACCUUCCCUUAAUCACGCCUGCAAAGUCCCCUUUGCUGUAAAGGGUGAUAGACCACAGGCUUCAGGGAUUAGGAAGUGGAUGCAUUUUUGUUGUUGUUGGGGGGUGUCAUUAUUCAGCUUCCCACAUGUGUGACGUUCAUCUCCUGGGAAAUGAACAAACUCCGAUCGAAGGCCCAUCUGGAAAAGUCCAACCUCGCAGUGUCUUGGACCAACACUUGGGGGUCUGUGCUCCUGCACAGUGAGUUUUGGCUUAGCCACGGGCUUCUUUUUCCCUUUGCUCACACCAGUAAAAACACUCAGCCUUUCUUUUC